GGCGAGUGAAGCGGCAACAGCUCAAAUUUGAAAUCUGGCGGUUCAGCCGUCCGAGUUGUAAUUUGUAGAGGGAGCCUCGGGUUGAGGGCCGGUCCAAGUUCCUUGGAACAGGAUACCGAAGAGGGUGAGAGUCCCGUCUCCGGCCGGCGCCAACGCCCGUGUGAGGCCCCUUCGACGAGUCGAGUUGUUUGGGAAUGCAGCUCUAAAUGGGUGGUAAAUUCCAUCUAAAGCUAAAUACUGGCCAGAGACCGAUAGCGAACAAGUAGAGUGAUCGAAAGAUGAAAAGCACUUUGAAAAGAGAGUCAAACAGUACGUGAAAUUGUUGAAAGGGAAGCGUAUGGGGCCAGACUUGGUCGCGGUGAUUCAGCCCGUCAUCUGGCGGGUGUACUUCGCCGCGGACAGGCCAGCAUCGGUUCCUGCGGGCGGACAAAGGCGUCGGGAAUGUAGCUCCCCUCGGGGAGUGUUAUAGCCCGGCGUGCAAUGCGUCCAGCUGGGGACCGAGGACCGCGCGUAUGCAAGGAUGCUGGCGUAAUGGCCUUAUACGGCCCGUCUUGAAACACGGACCAAGGAGUCUAACAUCUAUGCGAGUGUUUGGGUGUCAAGCCCGGGCGCGCAAUGAAAGUGAACGGAGGUGGGAGCUUCGGCGCACCAUCGACCGAUCCUGAUGUAUUCGGAAGGAUUUGAGUAAGAGCAUAGCUGUUGGGACCCGAAAGAUGGUGAACUAUGCGUGAAUAGGGUGAAGCCAGAGGAAACUCUGGUGGAGGCUCGCAGCGGUUCUGACGUGCAAAUCGAUCGUCAAAUUUGCGUAUAGGG
rnacentral:rRNA from 1 species